GGGGGAUUCCUUAGUACGGCGAGUGAAGCGGUAAAAGCUCAAAUUUGAAAUCUGGUACUUUCAGUGCCCGAGUUGUAAUUUGUAGAAUUUGUCUUUGAUUAGGUCCUUGUCUAUGUUCCUUGGAACAGGACGUCAUAGAGGGUGAGAAUCCCGUUUGGCGAGGAUACCUUUUCUCUGUAAGACUUUUUCGAAGAGUCGAGUUGUUUGGGAAUGCAGCUCAAAGUGGGUGGUAAAUUCCAUCUAAAGCUAAAUAUUGGCGAGAGACCGAUAGCGAACAAGUACAGUGAUGGAAAGAUGAAAAGAACUUUGAAAAGAGAGUGAAAAAGUACGUGAAAUUGUUGAAAGGGAAGGGCAUUUGAUCAGACAUGGUGUUUUUUGCAUGCACUCGCCUCUCGUGGGCUUGGGCCUCUCAAAAAUUUCACUGGGCCAACAUCAAUUCUGGCAGCAGGAUAAAUCAUUAAGAAUGUAGCUACUUCGGUAGUGUUAUAGCUUUUUGGAAUACUGUUAGCCGGGAUUGAGGACUGCGCUUCGGCAAGGAUGUUGGCAUAAUGGUUAAAUGCCGC
rnacentral:rRNA from 1 species